rnacentral:rRNA from 1 species
GCGUACACGGUGGAUGCCCUGGCAGUCAGAGGCGAUGAAGGACGUGCUAAUCUGCGAAAAGCGCCGGCGAGGUGAUAUGAACCUUUGACCCGGCGAUGUCCGAAUGGGGAAACCCAGUGUGUUUCGACACACUAUCGUUAACUGAAUACAUAGGUUAACGAGGCGAACCGGGGGAACUGAAACAUCUAAGUACCCCGAGGAAAAGAAAUCA